ensembl:lncRNA LINC00539 long intergenic non-protein coding RNA 539
UCAUCCUGUCCUCACAAUGGCUGGUGUGGAGACCCACAGACUUCAUCCUUAGGACGGACCUUCAGGCACCCAGGCUGCCUACUGACCUCCCUGGCAUGGGUGGGAACCGGGAGCUCGUUGGUAAGCAGGAGGAUUCAGGACUAUCGACUGAACCCCACCUCCUCUGUGGCACGCACCGUGCUGUGUCUUUGCAGUCAUCAUCUCAUCACCUCUGCACAGGAAGAUUAUCUCCCCCAUUUUGUGAUGAGGAAAUGGAGGCUCCAGGUGGAAAGAUGCAACCUGGGCCAGAGGCCCCUGGAGGUUGUGCCUGAACCCAGACAGAUCACACAAACCUGAGCAGCCAUUAGCCGCUGUGUGGGCUCCUUUGCACUGUGGGGCUGCUCCUGGGGAUAUUUACGUUGUGAACUGGUAAAAUCUGAACUGCAGAAUAUCAAUUUCCAGACAUUCUUCCUAGAUGAUGCCGUCUGCCACGGAGACCAUGUAGAUGGAUUGAAUGGGGAUAUGAUGAGGAUGACCACCCCUGCAUUUGCUAAGUUCUUGGGAGUGGCAUCGAUCUCAGCCAUUCCACUGGAAUAGGAUAAUGGACCUUAACUAGUGGGCUGAAGGCAAUGAGGGGAUGUGAGGAUGCAUCUUGUGAAGGACAAAAGUCAUCCUGUAAGGAUUCAUGAGACCUGAGCAGCCAGCCAGCCCUGAAAUGGUUGGAACAGGAGAAAGAAGAAGAGCUCGACAGAUACCCUGCCUGGGCUGGCAGCUAGCUGCACCACAAGCUGGCCAGCUGACAGCGGGCACAUCCCUUCAUCACCCAGUGCCUUUCUUCCCUCUUGUGAAAAUGGAGAUAUGCUGAGAAGGUUACUUCAGCUCAUCCAGAGAAAGCUUCUUCAGCUAACUAGGCUGUAGAAAGGGCCUACAGCCUAAAUUUUCAAAAACAAGUUAAUGCCAGAAUAUAAACUCCGUGAAGUA